rnacentral:tRNA from 1 species
GGAUUGUAGCUUAGUAGUAGAGCACUUGCCUAGCAUGUGUGAGACACUGGGUUCGAUCCUCAGCACCA